CUGGUGGUUGCCUACACAUGCACGUCGAACGGAGCAAUAUUUGCUUGCAAAUUAUUGCUUAGUGGCGGACGGGUGAGUAACGCGUAGGAAUCUGCCUUAUGGUGGGGGACAACAGUUGGAAACGGCUGCUAAUACCGCAUAUUAUUUUCGAAUAAAAGGUGGCACUUAGGUGCUGUCGCCAUGAGAUGAGCCUGCGUUGGAUUAGCUAGUUGGUGGGGUAAGGGCUUACCAAGGCUGUGAUCCAUAGCUGUUCUGAGAGGAAGAUCAGCCACACUGGGACUGAGACACGGCCCAGACUCCUACGGGAGGCAGCAGUGGGGAAUAUUGGACAAUGGGGGCAACCCUGAUCCAGCAAUACCAUGUGUGUGAAGAAGGCCUUAGGGCUGUAAAGCACUUUAGUUCGUGAGGAAGGCUAUCAGGUUAAGAGCUAGAUAGUUUGACGUUAGCGAAAGAAUAAGCACCGGCUAACUCCGUGCCAGCAGCCGCGGUAAUACGGAGGGUGCGAGCGUUAAUCGGAAUUACUGGGCGUAAAGGGUUCGUAGGUGGUUAGAUAAGUCAGAUGUGAAAGCCCUGGGCUCAACCUGGGAACAGCGCUUGAUACUG
rnacentral:rRNA from 1 species